UGAAGUUAUUACUAGUAUUAAUAGCCGUGGGCGCAGCCCACGGCCUGAGUAUACAAGAACGAGCAGGUGCUGGUGAGGCAUGUUCCUCCGAUGAUGUUUGCCACUGCCCUCCGGAAUUCCAUGGCGAAUGCCAUGACAACAUUUGUAGAUGUCAUCACCAUGGACAUGAAUUGCCAGACCACUCCGGACCCCCAGACCCACACCAUUCUCCUCCUCCUGACCCACACCAUGACUCCCCACCCCCAGACCCACACCAUGACCCACAUCAUUCCCCACCACCAAAUCGACGCCGUAUCCCACACGAAACCCCACGUCCAGAUCCGCACCGCGUUCCUAACAAACGAGCAGGACCUGGUGAGGCAUGUACUUCCGAUAAUGUUUGCCACUGCCCUCCGGAAUUCAAUGGCGAAUGUCAUAACAGCAUUUGUAGUUGUCAUCACCAUGGACAUGAACUUCCAGACCCACACCAUUCCCCGCCUCCAGACCCACACCACUCCCCUCCACCAGAUCACUCUCCACCUCCAGACCCACACCAUGACUCACCACCCCCAGACCCACACCAUGACUCACCACCCCCAGACCCACACCAUGACUCCCCACCUCCAGACCCACACCAUGACCCACACCAUUCCCCACCACCAAAUCGACGCCGUAUCCCACACGAAACCCCACGUCCAGAUCCGCAACGCGUUCCUAACAAGAGAGCCAAUGUAGGAGAACUUUGCACAGCUGAUGCUCAAUGCCAAUGUUUCAUUGGUUAUAGAGCAGCCUGUCAUGCUGGACAUUGUACUUGCCAUCAUAUAAAUUUUAAGCGAAAUAUUUUUAAAAUGACCAAAAAUGGUAAUAAUAUUUUCUGUAGUUGAAAUCUAUUUAGAAUAUAACUGAAUGCUGGUCCAAUCGGUAUUAUGUGCCAAUAAUGAUUAUGUCAAUAAAUGCAAAAUUGCUUUUAUCAAUUUUGUUAUACAUUUGAAUUCAAAAUUCCUUAAAUAUAAUUGAAUGUGGUUCCAAUCACUAGUAUGUGCUAAUAGUGAUAAUGUAAAUGAAUAAAAUAUUAAACACUUA